CAGCCGCCACGGUAAUACGAAGGGUGCAAGCGUUACUCGGAAUUACUGGGCGUAAAGCGUGUGUAGGUGGUUGUUUAAGUCUGUCGUGAAAGCCCUGGGCUCAACCUGGGAAUUGCGAUGGAUACUGGGCGACUAGAGUGCGGUAGAGGAUAGUGGAAUUUCCGGUGUAGCAGUGAAAUGCGUAGAGAUCGGAAGGAACAUCUGUGGCGAAGGCGACUAUCUGGGCCAACGCUGACACUGAGACACGAAAGCGUGGGGAGCAAACAGGAUUAGAUACCCCAGUAGUCCCUGUCUCUUAUAC
rnacentral:rRNA from 1 species